CUCGAAUGCAGUGACGUGAUCAUGGAUCACUGCAGUCCUCAACUUACUGGGCUCAGGAUGAAAGGCUUCCUAGCACAAACACCACCCCUGGAGUUCCCGGUACAUCAAUACCAGCCUGGGGAUCACGUUCUCAUCAAGAGUUGGAAGAGGGAAAGCUUGAACCAGCUUAGGAGGACCUCAUCUGGUACUCUUGAUGAAUGAAACAGCAAUCUGAAUGGCUGAAAAAGGAUGGACCCAGCACUCCAGGGAGAAAACUUGGCAUUCUUUGGGAAUCUAACAGGAUGCAGUGAACCCAAGCCUUUUGAAGAGCUCACCAAUCAGACUGCCCUUGUCUAUCCAUGAGCAGAUGUUUGAUAGUAUUGCGGAGGCCCUCUAGUGGGUAUGCUGCCAAGCAACUGGAGUGGCACUUGGGCUCUAAUCCAGUUGUCUAUCCCUUUCACCCUGGCAUUUCAUCAGCCAAACAAAAACCAACUAACUCAGAA
rnacentral:lncRNA from 10 species